rnacentral:rRNA from 1 species
AGCAGUGGGAAUAUUGCACAAUGGAGGAAACGUCCUGAUGCAGCGACGCCGCGUGAGUGAAGAAGUAUUUCGGUAUGUAAAGCUCUAUCAGCAGGGAAGAAAAUGACGGUACCUGACUAAGAAGCACCGGCUAAAUACGUGCC